rnacentral:tRNA from 1 species
AAGAUAUUAGUAAAAUAAUUACAUAACUUUGUCAAAGUUAAAUUAUAGGUUAAUAAUCUGUAUAUCUUA